CGGGGUGCAGCAGGCGCGAAAACUUUACAAUGCGGGAAACCGUGAUAAGGGGACACCGAGUGCCAGCAUCAUAUGCUGGCUGUCCAGGUGUGUAAAAUACACCUGUUAGCAAGGGCCGGGCAAGACCGGUGCCAGCCGCCGCGGUAACACCGGCGGCCCGAGUGGUGAUCGUGAUUAUUGGGUCUAAAGGGUCCGUAGCCGGUUUGGUCAGUCCUCCGGGAAAUCUGACGGCUCAACCGUUAGGCUUUCGGGGGAUACUGCCAGGCUUGGAACCGGGAGAGGUAAGAGGUACUACAGGGGUAGGAGUGAAAUCUUGUAAUCCCUGUGAGACCACCUGUGGCGAAGGCGUCUUACCAGAACGGGUUCGACGGUGAGGGACGAAAGCUGGGGGCACGAACCGGAUUAGAUACCCGGGUAGUCCCAGCCGUAAACGAUGCUCGCUAGGUGUCAGGCAUGGCGCGACCGUGUCUGGUGCCGCAGGGAAGCCGUGAAGCGAGCCACCUGGGAAGUACGGCCGCAAGGCUGAAACUUAAAGGAAUUGGCGGGGGAGCA
rnacentral:rRNA from 1 species